UGUAUUCCUGCGUCUGUUGGCAUUAGAUGCUAAGACAGAGCUAGGGGUGUGAACCACCAUGCCUGGCCUGAAUAAGAUGCAUUUCUGGCAAUGUUGACCAAUGCCACAGGGAGCUCAGAACACAGGUCAUUCAUUAGAGGAGCCUCCCAUUGGGUAGGCACGGCCUGAUCUGAGAAGCCAUGCUCAAUAAUCACUGAUGUCUUCCCCAGGUCUUGGCUCAAAAGCUGAUGCAGAUCCUGAAGGCACUGCCCUGCUUGCAACAGAAUGGCACGGUCUUUUUUGAAGGGAUGGCUGG
rnacentral:lncRNA from 1 species